rnacentral:rRNA from 1 species
AUUGAACGCUGGCGGCAGGCCUAACACAUGCAAGUCGAGCGAGCGGCGGACGGGUGAGUAAUGUCUGGGAAACUGCCUGAUGGAGGGGGAUAAAUACUGGAAACGGUAGCUAAUACCGCAUACCAUCAGAUGUGCCCAGUUGGGAUUAGCUAGUAGGUGGGGUAACGGCUCACCUAGGCGACGAUCCCUAGCUGGUCUGAGGGGAUGACCGGCCACACUGGAACGUAGAGACGGUCCAGACUCCUACGGGCGGGAGCAGUGGGGAAUAUGGGACAAUGGGCGCAAGCCUGAUGCAGCCAUGCCGCGUGUGUGAAGAAGGCCUUCGGGUUUUAAAGCACUUUCAGCGUGGAGGCGGUACCCGCAGAAGAAGCACCGGCUAACUCCGUGCCAGCAGCCGCGGUAAUUC